rnacentral:rRNA from 1 species
AAGCAGCCUGCUGGGCUGUUUCUGACGUCAGGACGAAAGCUGGGGGAGCAACGGAUAGAUACCCGGGUAGUCCAGUCCGUAAGCCAUGGGCGCUAGACGUCGUCCGUAAUGGGCGGUGUCUCAGCUAACGCGUUAAGCGCCCCGCCUGGGGAGUACGGGCGCAAGCCUUGAAACUCAAAGGGAUUGACGGGGGCCCGCACAAGCGGUGGAGCGUGUGGUUUAAUUGGAAGCUAAGCCAAGAACCUUACCAGGGCUUGACAUGCUGGUGGUACCGAGCCGAAAGGUGAGGGACCUUGCCGUAAGGCGAGGAGCCAGCACAGGUGGUGCACGGUCGUCGUCAGCUCGUGCCGUGAGGUGUUGGGUUAAGUCCCGCAACGAGCGCAACCCCUGCCCUUAGUUGCCAGCGCGAGAGGCGGGCACUCUAAGGGGACUGCCGGCGACGAGCCGGAGGAAGGAGGGGAUGACGUCAGAUACUCGUGCCCCUUAUGCCCUGGGCGACACACGCGCUACAAUGGGGUGGACAGCGGGACGCGAGCCAGCGAUGGUGAGCAAAUCCCUGAAACCACCCCCCAGUUCAGAUUGUGGGCUGCAACCCGCCCACAUGAAGCCGGAAUCGCUAGUAAUCGCGGAUCAGCCACGCCGCGGUGAAUACGUUCCCGGGCCUUGUACACACCGCCCGUCAAGCCACCCGAGCUGCGGGCACCCGAAGGCGGUGACUCUUAGGGGCGCCGUUGAGGGUGAACGUGGUGAGGGGGGCUAAGUCGUAACAAGGUAGGUGUACCGGAAGGUGCGGCUGGAUCACCUCCUU